rnacentral:rRNA from 1 species
UACGUAGGUGGCAAGCGUUGUCCGGAAUUAUUGGGCGUAAAGCGCGCGCAGGCGGUCCUUUAAGUCUGAUGUGAAAGCCCACGGCUCAACCGUGGAGGGUCAUUGGAAACUGGGGGACUUGAGUGCAGGAGAGAAGAGUGGAAUUCCACGUGUAGCGGUGAAAUGCGUAGAGAUGUGGAGGAACACCAGUGGCGAAAGCGCGUAACUGGGGCAUAACUGACGCUGAGGAACGAAAGCCAGGGUAUCCAAAGGG